UGUUGGGACUAUGCACACUGUAAAUCAUCAGCGGGUAUGCAUCGCCACCCGUUGUUUCCAUAGCUCUUAUGUCUUGGAUUUGCCUGUGCCACAAGCUUACAGUAAUGGACUUGUUGGUGUCCUAUGUCCUACAGCGUCUCUUUGGUGGUCAAGUACUCCUUCUGUUUCGUAAUAGCAGGUUCAACACACAUGUGUGAACUUUGCAUCAAUACAACAAUGGCCUCUGCAAUGACAGCUUUGAUGGCAUUCUGCUUGAUUGCUCACCAUUUCUUCAGUUGCAUGGGUAGAGUGCCAAACAAUGUGGAACAUGUAAUCAGGUCCGAUCAAUUAAGACAGGUGUGCUGCCACCUGCCACGAAGGUAUUUAGUAGUGUUUACAAAAUUGUACAACAUAGCAAUAUCUCAUAACUCUA
rnacentral:lncRNA from 1 species